rnacentral:rRNA from 1 species
CAGCAGUAGCCGCGGUAAUACAGAGGGUGCGAGCGUUAAUCGGAUUUUCUGGGCGUAAAGCGUGCGUAGGCGGCUUCUUAAGUCGGAUGUGAAAUCCCUGAGCUUAACUUAGGAAUUGCAUUCGAUACUGGGAAGCUAGAGUAUGGGAGAGGAUGGUAGAAUUCCAGGUGUAGCGGUGAAAUGCGUAGAGAUCUGGAGGAAUACCGAUGGCGAAGGCAGCCAUCUGGCCUAAUACUGACGCUGAGGUACGAAAGCAUGGGGAGCAAACAGGAUUAGAUACCCCCGUAGUCCCUGUCUCUUAUAC